AGAGGAAGUAAAAGUCGUAACAAGGUUUCCGUAGGUGAACCUGCGGAAGGAUCAUUAUCGAGUUUUAUUUGAACGGGUUGUAGCUGGCCUUUUAAUCGAGGCAUGUGCACGCUCGGCUCAAUUCCACUCUUAACCACUGUGCACUUUUUGUAAGAUCGGUUGAAGGACUUUGUGUAAUAAUAAAGUUCGGAAGCCUUUCUUAUGUUUACUACAAACGCUUCAGUUAUAGAAUGUCUAUUUGUGUAUAACACAUUUAUAUACAACUUUCAGCAACGGAUCUCUUGGCUCUCGCAUCGAUGAAGAACGCAGCGAAAUGCGAUAAGUAAUGUGAAUUGCAGAAUUCAGUGAAUCAUCGAAUCUUUGAACGCACCUUGCGCUCCUUGGUAUUCCGAGGAGCAUGCCUGUUUGAGUGUCAUGGAAUUCUCAACCCUUAGAAUUUAUUUUCUAAUGGGCUUGGACUUGGAGGCUUGUGUCGGCUGCUUGCUCAGUCGACUCCUCUUAAAUGCAUUAGCGUGAAUUCUUACGGAUCGCCUUCAGUGUGAUAAUUAUCUGCGCUGUGGUGUUGAAGUAUUUUUAUAUUCGUGCUUAUAAUCGUCUCCUUACCGAGACAAUUAUCAUUAUGACAUCUGACCUCAAAUCAGGUAGGACUACCCGCUGAACUUAAGCAUAUCAAU
rnacentral:rRNA from 1 species